GCCGGGUGUGGUGGCACACACUUGUAAUCCCAGCAGCUUAGGAGGCUGAGACAGGAGGAUCUCGAGUUCAAAGUCAGCCUCAGGAAUGGUGACAGUGUAAAGCAACUCAGUGAGAACCUGUCUCUA
rnacentral:sRNA from 1 species